GCCUGGUUGGCUCAGUCGGUUAAGCAUCUGACUUCAGCUCAGGUCAUAAUCUCAUGGUUCAUGAGUUCAAGCCCCACGCCAGGCU
rnacentral:tRNA from 1 species